UAUUAUUCAUUUAUUUGUAAGAAUUUAGUUUUUUUUUGUUGGGUAUGAAGAUUGAUGCUUAAUUUUGAAGCAACUUUAAGUUUUGAAGAUGGGAUCAUGCUUUAAAUGGUUAAUUUAUUAAGUUUAUGUGUUUAUUUAAUGUUACCCUGUUUCAAUUUGAUUUAAUCCAUAAACGAUUUCAGAUCUCGAUUGAUUCAGGUAUAGUCAUUCUUUGAUAUUGGUAUAUAUUGCAGAUCCAGUCGAUCAUCCUUCUGAGGCUGAAUGCGAACUAGGGCUUAGAAAUUAGGGCUUUAGCAACACCUUCAUUUUCUAACAGUAAGCAGCUUUUGAUAGGCAUUAGGAUAAAAGCUUCUGGUGGGCAUUGAUACCUUACAGAUUUAGAAGAAGAAGGAUUGUCCGGGUGGUAAUUUGUGUAUGAGUUCAAAUGAGUCGAAUGUGAGAACAUCUAAACAGUUAUGGGAGUUACAUUUGGAGCAAUGCUUGAAUAGAUACAGGAGUUGUAUAAACAACACCAUUAACCAUGUUUCUUAUAUUUCUAAGGUGAAUUUAUAAAGACAUUUGGAUUUGACCCUUCUUACGCUGACUACUCGAAAGUGUUGAUCAAAUCUCUGUUUAGCAAUACAUCAUGUUUUCUUACCAAAAUUGAGGUUUGGAGAUCUAAAUUUGCAAAAUCCAGAGAACAAAGUCAUUGCUCAACUUUUUCAGAAAAAUAAUGCUGGAAAUAUUUUGGAAUGUCGUAUCUACUUGUUGAAUGCAGUCCGCACUCGUGACUAUGUACAGAACUCAGCAUGUAUUUUGGUCUCGGGCAGAUUAAGUGAUCGUGGUGUAAACAAAAUGAUACUAGUUGUAUGCCGGAGAGAACAAAGUUCCAUAUCUUGGCAUUUGCUUAGGCACACAGAUUUCUGUUAUUGAGAUUUCUAGAUCUGAUUUCAACAACCCGUUUAACCUGUUUGAAUAAUUGUUUAACUUGUUGGACGACAUGGAUGGAAGAAACACGCAUAACACGGCUAGACAAGGCGAAGAUCAAGGCUACAAUCUGGUUUU